rnacentral:rRNA from 1 species
UACGUAGGGGGCAAGCGUUGUCCGGAUUUACUGGGCGUAAAGAGCGCGUAGGCGGAAGUCUAAGCGGUGCCUGAAAGCCCCCGGCUCAACCGGGGAGGGUGGUGCCGAACUGGGCUUCUUGAGGGCGAUAGAGGAGAGUGGAAUUCCGGGUGUAGCGGUGAAAUGCGUAGAGAUCCAGAGGAACACCAGUGGCGCAGGCGGCGUCCUGGCACAUACCUGACGCUCAGACACGACAGCAUGGGGAGCGAACGGG